rnacentral:rRNA from 1 species
UACAUGGGGUGCAAACGUUGCUCGGAAUUAUUGGGCGUAAAGCGCACGUAGGCGGUUUGUUAAGUCGGAUGUGAAAUCCCUCGGCUCAACUGAGGAAGUGCAUCCGAAACUGGCAGGCUUGAGUACUAAAGAGGGUCGGCGGAAUUCCCGGUGUAGAGGUGAAAUUCGUAGAUAUCGGGAGGAACACCGGUGGCGAAGGCGGCGACCUGGGGUAGAUACUGACGCUGAGGUGCGAAAGCGUGGGGAGCAAACAGGG